AGUGAACGCUGGCGGUAGGCCUAACACAUGCAAGUCGAACGGCAGCACAGAGGACCUUGCUCUCUGGGUGGCGAGUGGCGGACGGGUGAGGAAUACAUCGGAAUCUACUUUUUCGUGGGGGAUAACGUAGGGAAACUUACGCUAAUACCGCAUACGACCUACGGGUGAAAGCAGGGGAUCUUCGGACCUUGCGCGAUUGAAUGAGCCUAUGUCGGAUUAGUUAGUUGGCGGGGUAAGGGCCCACCAAGGCGACGAUCCGUAGCUGGUCUGACAGGAUGAUCAGCCACACUGGAACUGAGACACGGUCCAGACUCCUACGGGAGGCAGCAGUGGGGAAUAUUGGACAAUGGGCGCAAGCCUGAUCCAGCCAUACCGCAUGGGUGAAGAAGGCCUUCGGGUUGUAAAGCCCUUUUGUUGGGAAAGAAAUCCAGCUGGUUAAUACCCGGUUGGGAUGACGGUACCCAAAGAGUAAGCACCGGCUAACUUCGUGCCAGCCGCCGCCGUAA
rnacentral:rRNA from 1 species